rnacentral:rRNA from 1 species
CACUCCUACGGGAGGCAGCAGUGGGGAAUUUUGGACAAUGGGCGAAAGCCUGAUCCAGCAAUGCCGCGUGUGUGAAGAAGGCCUUCGGGUUGUAAAGCACUUUUGUCCGGAAAGAAAUCCUUGGCUCUAAUACAGUCGGGGGAUGACGGUACCGGAAGAAUAAGCAUCGGCUAACUACGUGCCAGCAGCCGCGGUAAUACGUAGGGUGCGAGCGUUAAUCGGAAUUACUGGGCGUAAAGCGUGCGCAGGCGGUUUGCUAAGACCGAUGUGAAAUCCCCGGGCUCAACCUGGGAACUGCAUUGGUGACUGGCAGGCUAGAGUAUGGCAGAGGGGGGUAGAAUUCCACGUGUAGCAGUGAAAUGCGUAGAGAUGUGGAGGAAUACCGAUGGCGAAGGCAGCCCCCUGGGCCAAUACUGACGCUCAUGCACGAAAGCGUGGGGAGCAAACAGGAUUAGAUACCCGAGUAGUCCC